rnacentral:rRNA from 1 species
GACGAACGCUGGCGGCGUGCCUAAUACAUGCAAGUAGAACGCACAGUUUAUACCUUAGCUUGCUACACCAUAGACUGUGAGUUGCGAACGGGUGAGUAACGCGUAGGUAACCUGCCUGGUAGCGGGGGGUAACUAUUGGAAACGAUAGCUAAUACCGCAUAAUAUUAAUUAUUGCAUGAUAAUUAAUUGAAAGGUGCAAUUGCACCACUACCAGAUGGACCUGCGUUGUAUUAGCUAGUAGGUGAGGUAACGGCUCACCUAGGCGACGAUACAUAGCCGACCUGAGAGGGUGAGCGGCCAGACUGGGACGGAGACACGGCCCAGACGCCUACGGGAGGCAGCAGGAGGGAAUCUUCGGCAAGGGAUGAAAGUCUGACCGAGCAACGCCGCGGGAGUGAAGAAGGUUUUCGGAUCGUAAAGCUCUGUUGUAAGAGAAGAACGGGUGUGAGAGCGGAAAGUUCACACUGUGACGGUAUCUGACCAGAAAGGGACGGCUAACUACGUG